CCAAUAGCGUAUAUUAAAGUUGUUGCAGUUAAAAAGCUCGUAGUUGAAUUUCGGGAUCAAUAUGUCGGUCGUGCCUUCGGUACGUACUGGUAUCAUUGGUCUCUCCUUUCUGACGAACCAUGAUGUCAUUAAUUUGGUGUUAUGGGGAGUUAGGACUGUUACUUUGAAAAAAUUAGAGUGUUUAAAGCAGGCUUUAGCUUGAAUACAUUAGCAUGGAAUAAUGAAAUAGGACGUUCGAACCUAUUUUGUUGGUUUCUAGGAUCAACGUAAUGAAUUAAUAGGGAUAGUUGGGGGCAUUAGUAUUCAAUUGUCAGAGGUGAAAUUCUUGGAUUUAUUGAAGACUAACUACUGCGAAAGCAUUUGCCAAGGAUGUUUUCAUUAAUCAAGAACGAAAGUUAGGGGAUCGAAGACGAUCAGAUACCGUCGUAGUCUUAACCAUAAACUAUGCCGACUAGGGAUCGGAUGAUGUUAAUUUUUUAAUGACUCAUUCGGCGCCUUACG
rnacentral:rRNA from 1 species